GGUAAUAAUCCUGUAGUCAAAAUAAUAAUUCUUUAGGUAUGAUCCAGAGUACCACGGGACACGUGAAACCCUGUGGGAAGCAGGAGGGACCACCCUCCAAGGCUAAAUACUACCUAGUGACCGAUAGCGUAUAGUACCGUGAGGGAAAGGUGAAAAGAACCCCGGGAGGGGAGUGAAAUAGAACCUGAAACCCUGCACUUACAAGCUGUGGAAGCACAUUUCUUGUGUGACCGCGUACUUUUUGUAGAACGGGCCAACGAGUUACGUUAAGUAGCAAGGUUAAGCACUUAAGGUGUGGAGCCGUAGCGAAAGCGAGUUUUAACUGAGCGUUCAGUUACUUGACGUAGACCCGAAACCGGGCGACCUACCCAUGAGCAGGAUGAAGCGAAAGUAAAAUUUCGUGGAGGUCCGAACCCACGAGCGUUGAAAAGCUCGGGGAUGACUUGUGGGUAGCGGUGAAAUUCCAAUCGAGCCCGGAGAUAGCUGGUUCUCCCCGAAAUAGCUUUAGGGCUAGCCUCAAGGUGAGAGAUACGGAGGUAGAGCACUGAAUGUCCUAGGGGGUAUUGCACCUACCGAAGACUAUCAAACUCCGAAUGCCGUCAUCUUAUACUUGGGAGUCAGACUGUGGGUGAUAAGAUUCAUAGUCGAAAGGGCAACAGCCCAGAUCGUCAGCUAAGGUCCCUAAAUGUAAGUUAAGUGGUAAAGGAUGUGGGAUUGCACAGACAACCAGGAUGUUGGCUUAGAAGCAGCCACUCAUUCAAAGAGUGCGUAAUAGCUCACUGGUCGAGUGAUCCUGCGCCGAAGAUUUCCGGGGCUAAAACUUACUACCGAAGCUACGGCAUCAGUAAUGAUGGGUAGGGGAGCUUCCCAUACGGGUUGAAGCAUGACCGUAAGGACAUGUGGACAGUAUGGGAGUGAGAAUGUUGGCAUGAGUAGCGAGAUGUGGGUGAGAAUCCCACAGGCCGUAAACCCAAGGUUUCCAGGGGAAGGUUCGUCCGCCCUGGGUUAGUCGGGACCUAAGCUGAGGCCGAAAGGCGUAGGUGAUGGACAACAGGUUGAUAUUCCUGUACUACCGAUAACCGUUUGAGAGAUGGGAUGACACAGUAGGAUAAGCUAAGCACACUGUUGGUUAUGUGUGCCCAAGCAUUGAGGCAGUCAAAGUAGGCAAAUCCGCUUUGAUAAUGCUGGGAUGUGAUGGGGAGCGAAAUUUAGUAGCGAAGUAGCUGAUUUCACACUGUCAAGAAAAGUCUCUAUCGAGGUUAAAGGUACCCGUACCGCAAACCGACACAGGUGGGUGAGGAGAGUAUCCUAAGGCCAGCGAGAGAACUGUUGUUAAGGAACUCGGCAAAAUGACCCCGUAACUUAGGGAUAAGGGGUGCCACCAUCAGGUGGCCGCAGAGAAUAGGCCCAAGCGACUGUUUACCAAAAACAUAGGUUUCUGCUAAGUCGCAAGACGAUGUAUAGGAGCUGACGCCUGCCCGGUGCUGGAAGGUUAAGGGGAUCUGUUAGAGCAAUCGAAGCAGUGAACUUAAGCCCCAGUAAACGGCGGCCGUAACUAUAACGGUCCUAAGGUAGCGAAAUUCCUUGUCGGGUAAGUUCCGACCCGCACGAAAGGCGUAACGAUUUGGGCACUGUCUCAACAACAGACUCGGUGAAAUUGUAAUUCCGGUGAAGAUGCCGGAUACCUGCGACAGGACGGAAAGACCCCAUGGAGCUUUACUGUAGCUUGACAUUGGGUCUUGGUACUACAUGUACAGGAUAGGUGGGAGGCUUUGAAACCAGGACGCCAGUUUUGGCGGAGCCAUCCUUGGGAUACCACCCUUGUA
rnacentral:rRNA from 1 species